UGAUUGGUCAUUGGAUGGGUUGGUCAAAGUUCGCGCAAGGUCGCCCUGACGUGACCCAUAAUAAGAUGUCCUCAGAUCUUUGUUUAGCGAUAGCGAGGACUGAGAUCUGAUUUUAAUGAGAUUGGAUGAGCUGCAGAAACAGAGUAUAGCUCACCCUGUCUGGCGGAGUGUCAUACUGGCUGUGGCUGCUUUACCAGGGACCACCAUAGCAAACACUAGGAUCACAUGUUAUAACAUCUUGUCAGGAUCAUUAACCUAGCACAAAUAAUCAUAUUCUAAUGUGAUAACAUUUCCUUAAAAUUUGCGAGGACUGAUUCACAUUUGAUUGUUACCAUGGUUACCAUGUUUUAGAGAUUGCAUAUGUUGUGUGUGGGAGGUCUGGGACAUGUUGAUCUGUUGCAUGGACUGUCUCCAUGUAAGUUCAUACACAAUAUUUAUCAUAAUAUAUUUAGGAGAACGCAAGAGUAAUGUGAGUGACAUGUCGAUGCGAUGUUGUGUUACUGAGUCUAACUUAGAUCUGUGUACGCUGAUCAAAUCUUUCUUAGAUCCGUGUUCAUCGGGUGAGUUUUACUUAGAUCUGUGUACACUGAGAGAGUCUGACUUAGACCUGUUUCACACCGAGUGAAUCUUGCUCAGAUCUGUGUACGCCAAUCAAGUCUUACUUAGAUUCAUGUACAUCGAGUGUGUGACACUUAGAUCUGCGUACACUGAGAGAGUCUGACUUAGACCUGUUUCACACCGAGUGAAUCUUGCUCAGAUCUGUGUACACCAAUCAAGUCUUACUUAGAUCCAUGUACAUUGAGUAAGUUUCACUUAGAUCUGUGUACACUGAGAGGGUCUGACUAAGAUCUGUUUCACUUUGUGUGAGUCUUGCUUAGAUUUUUGAGUGAAUGAGUGAGUGAGUGAAUGAUGUGCUUUGUUUGUUUGCCUUGAACCUAUCAGUUCAUCUGUUUUUUAGGUGAUUCCAUAUUUUUAGAUUUGCCUAAAUGAGUGUUGAGUUUUGUACCAGUGUAUUUUGUUUCGUAUGCACAUAUUUAUUGUCAGUCACUACAGCACCAAGUGUCAUUUCCAUCUGACCAAACUUGUAUUAUUUGUAGGGCAUUGAUUUCUGAAGAACAUUUAGUGAUUUAACAUGAUGUAGAGAACCAGAAAGUGUGCAGGGGAUUCACAGUCAGGGAUAAGCAACAUGAUUGUCAAUACAGAAAGCCUGGAGUGAAACAGAACCUGCCAUCACCUCAAGCCAUGAAGUGAGACAGGUGACAUCGCCAUCAGAUCAUGGCAUGAAGUAAGACAGGUGACAUUGCCAUCAGAUCAUGACAUGAAGUAAGACAGGUGACAUCGCCAUCAGAUCAUGGCAUGAAGUAAGACAGGUGACAUCGCCAUCACCUCAAGCCAUGAAGUAAGACAGGUGACAUCGCCAUCAGAUCAUGGCAUGAAGUGAGACAGGUGACAUCGCCAUCAGAUCAUGGCAUGAAGUGAGACAGGUGACAUCGCCAUCAGAUCAUGAAGUAAGACAGGUGACAUCGCCAUCAGAUCAUGAAGUAAGACAGGUGACAUCGCCAUCAGAUCAUGGCAUGAAGUAAGACAGGUGACAUCGCCAUCAGAUCAUGACAUGAAGUAAGACAGGUGACAUCGCCAUCAGAUCAUGAAGUAAGACAGGUGACAUCGCCAUCAGAUCAUGGCAUGAUGUAAGACAGGUGACAUCGCCAUCAGAUCAUGGCAUGAAGUAAAACAGGUGACAUUGCCAUCAGAUCAUGGCAUGAAGUAAGACAGGUGACAUCGCCAUCAGAUCAUGGCAUGAAGUGAGACAGGUGACAUCGCCAUCAGAUCAUGAAGUAAGACAGGUGACAUCGCCAUCAGAUCAUGGUAUGAAGUAAGACAGGUGACAUUGCCAUCAGAUCAUGGCAUGAAGUAAGACAGGUGACAUCGCCAUCACCUCAAGCCAUGAAGUGAGACAGGUGACAUCGCCAUCAGAUCAUGGCAUGAAGUAAGACAGGUGACAUCGCCAUCAGAUCAUGGCAUGAAGUAAGACAGGUGACAUUGCCAUCAGAUCAUGGCAUGAAGUAAGACAGGUGACAUCGCCAUCAGAUCAUGGCAUGAAGUGAGACAGGUGACAUCGCCAUCAGAUCAUGAAGUAAGACAGGUGACAUCGCCAUCAGAUCAUGGUAUGAAGUAAGACAGGUGACAUUGCCAUCAGAUCAUGGCAUGAAGUAAGACAGGUGACAUCGCCAUCAGAUCAUGGCAUGAAGUGAGACAGGUGACAUCGCCAUCAGAUCAUGAAGUAAGACAGGUGACAUCGCCAUCAGAUCAUGGCAUGAAGUAAGACAGGUGACAUUGCCAUCAGAUCAAGGCAUGAAGUAAGACAGGUGACAUCGCCAUCAGAUCAUGGCAUGAAGUAAGACAGGUGACAUCGCCAUCAGAUCAUGAAGUGAGACAGGUGACAUCGCCAUCAGAUCAUGGCAUGAAGUAAGACCGGUGACAUCGCCAUCAGAUCAUGGCAUGAAGUAAGACAGGUGUCAUCGCCAUCAGAUCAUGGCAUGAAGUAAGACAGGUGACAUCGCCAUCAGAUCAUGACAUGAAGUAAGACAGGUGACAUCGCCAUCAGAUCAUGAAGUAAGACAGGUGUCAUCGCCAUCAGAUCAUGGCAUGAAGUAAGACAGGUGACAUCGCCAUCAGAUCAUGGCAUGAAGUAAGACAGGUGACAUCGCCAUCAGAUCAUGGCAUGAAGUAAGACAGGUGACAUCGCCAUCAGAUCAUGAAGUAAGACAGGUGACAUCGCCAUCAGAUCAUGGCAUGAAGUAAGACAGGUGACAUCGCCAUCAGAUCAUGAAGUAAGACAGGUGACAUUGCCAUCAGAUCAUGGCAUGAAGUAAGACAGGUGACAUCGCCAUCAGAUCAUGGCAUGAAGUAAGACAGGUGACAUCGCCAUCAGAUCAUGAAGUGAGACAGGUGACAUCGCCAUCAGAUCAUGAAGUAAGACAGGUGACAUCGCCAUCAGAUCAUGGCAUGAAGUAAGACCGGUGACAUCGCCAUCAGAUCAUGACAUGAAGUAAGACAGGUGACAUCGCCAUCAGAUCAUGGCAUGAAGUAAGACAGGUGACAUCGCCAUCAGAUCAUGAAGUAAGACAGGUGUCAUCGCCAUCAGAUCAUGGCAUGAAGUAAGACAGGUGACAUCGCCAUCAGAUCAUGGCAUGAAGUAAGACAGGUGACAUCGCCAUCAGAUCAUGGCAUGAUGUUGAAUAUCCAGGACAGACCUCUUGAGGUACUCGUGUACUUGGAUGCACAGAGGAAGUCCUGCCGAGUCCAAUGUACUGUUGUCCAUAUAAACUAUGAAGAGAUGUCCUUUGUUAUUGCCUUGUUGUCACUGUCCAGACUUGGCUGAUGACUGAAACAAGUAUGGAAUACAGUUUCUUGAAUGUUGCUCCAAUGUAACAGAGGUAGUGUUUCAGGUGAGUUUUCAGUCUGAAUGAACCAAUUGGUUUGUCGUUACAAGUAGUUUUAACAAUAACAUGUUUUUAUGUUCAUGGUUUGUACCACUGCAGUGAAUAAGCUGUGCAACAAAUAACAGCUUAUUGCAAUCUUCAAACUUGUUCAGAGAUUGAGUGUGUGGACAGUGAUCCUCCAGAAGCUAUUUCCUAUUCGACUAUUUCAAGACCUGAUCAUGUAUUGAUAUAUGAGACUGUGAAUCUGCUUUUAUAACUACAGUAAACUACAGUUAUAAUGAACACAAAGAAACCACUAAUUUUAGUUUGUUAUAACCGUAGUCUGUAUAUAUUCAUAUAUACAGCAUACAGUAUGCAUAUAUACAGCAUACCAACAGCAAAUGGACGGGACCCAGAAAAGGUUUGUUGUAAGCGUGUUCGUUAUAAAUGUAGUUUACUGUACAUAUAUCACUAAAAAUGUCAAGGAUAGUGCCAUGCUAAUCCCCUCAUGUUAAGAUUGUUUUUAAGUACUGUUCAACUUUUAUGGAAAUUGUCUGAGUGUCCAGAUAAUGACAAUGUGAUUGAUUGCUGAAAGAUGUUGUCAUGCAAGUAGUAUUCAAUAUUAUCAUGGAAGUGCCACAUUUCCAGCUUUAAUGAAGGUAAUCAGAAAUGCAUGUUUAUUGUAGCUGUUAAAGGGCAAGUAUACUGAAAAAAAUUAGUUUGAUUUUCCUAGAUAAGUCAAUUUCCAGGAGAGAAAACUUCAGAAUAUUCAGAGAAGGUAUUUAGAUGUCCAUGUGAAAGUGCUGAAAUGACUGACACACUCUGUAAUCAGCUUCCAAAACAAAGCUAAUUAGGGCGUGGCCCAAAGCUACAGAUGCAGCGGUGCAUGUUUUCAUUGGCGUAUAUGUAGACUAGUUUGCUGUCUUUAUCUAUCUUGUGAUUCUUAGCAGCUGUACAUAUACUGUUUCUGCUAUUCCGUUAAUCCUACAAAAAUAAUAAUAUUGCAAACAUGGUUGAAUGUGUGAAACGUCCCCUUUGAUCCUGACAUUUUGAAUAAUUUAAAUAACAAUUAACAAUCUGUAAGUAGUAUUUUAUGACUAACAUCCUGUUCAGGUAGCAUAAACAACCUGCUGGCCUCGGUCCUGUUCCACACAAUGAAUGCCUGUCAGGGCAGGUUCAUCCUCUGUGUAGGCAACCGAAGGAUUCUUCAGUGUUCUUACUAAUAAGUUGACACAAGGUGUUAACACAUUGAUCAGACAAAUGACCAGACAGAUUAAGCCCUGCAUUGCGAUUAAAGGUGGAAGCAGGCAAACUGGGCAGGAACCCGUUUUAACUAUUUCCGUUUUUUCAAACUGAAUUUUGGUCAAGAUUUUUGUGAUAAAGUCUGCCCUGAAGUAUUAAGAUCUUUAAAGUUGGUAUGUUGAGUUUACUUGCCCCUUAAUGCUUGGUGCUUUUAUUUAAUAGUGCAGUAUUGCUUGAAAAGGUUGAGUUGUAUGAGUUGUGUAUAGGGUUGAUACAGCAGUAGUCUGUGGGUGUCCUACAGGGGAACACCGAUGCAGAACGCUGAUGUGGAUAUUUCUUCUGAAUGUAUAUUAAUCUGUGUUGCCUAGAAGCGUGUUAUUUAUUCCAGUGUAGCCAUCAGUGAAAUGAUGCUUAUUUUGUACACCAAUCUGAACAAACAAUAUUAUGUACAGUGUAAAUUUGUUAAUAGUUCCACACAACAUGAGUGUUUGCCCCUCCUGUGGUAUCUCUAUAAACACUCAGUAACCUGACUUGAUGGUAACUAUGUACUGACUUGACGGUAACCCAGUACUGACUUGAUGGUUACCUAGUACUGACUUGAUGGUAACUAUGUACUGACUUGAUGGUAUUCUAGUACUGACUUGAUGGUAACUAUGUACUGACUUCACAGUAACCCAGUACUGACUUCACGGUAUUCUAGUACUGACUUGAUGGUAUUCUAGUACUGACUUGAUGGUAACUAUGUACUGACUUGAUGGUAACUAUGUACUGACUUCACAGUAACCCAGUACUGACUUGAUGGUAACUAUGUACUGACUUCACGGUAACCCAGUACUGACUUGAUGGUUACCUAGUACUGACUUCACGGUAACCCAGUACUGAAUUGAUGGUUACCCAGUAUUGACUUGAUGGUUACCUAGUACUUCCAGGCAGUAGGUCAUACUGUUGAGCUCUUUGCAUUUGCUUAACCCUAUUUGUAUUAUUCAUCAUUUUCUUCUUUGUAAACUGCUUUUAUUUCAAACCACUGACUGAAUCCAAGAGAUUGCAACACAUCACAUUAGUUUGUACCCAAUUACAUAUUCAUUGUCUUGUCAUUUCUUGAAAAAUUUCAGUCACCAUUAUGUGGGGUUAUUCAGUGUCUAUAAAAUGUCUACAAAUCAA